CCGAGCGUUAUCCGGAAUUAUUGGGUUUAAAGGGUCCGUAGGCGGACCGAUAAGUCAGGGGUGAAAGUCUGCCGCUCAACGGUAGAACUGCCUUUGAUACUGUCGGUCUUGAGUUAUAGUGAAGUUGCCGGAAUAUGUAGUGUAGCGGUGAAAUGCAUAGAUAUUACAUAGAACACCGAUUGCGAAGGCAGGUGACUAACUAUCGACUGACGCUGAUGGACGAAAGCGUGGGGAGCGAACAGGAUUAGAUACCCUGGUAGUCCACGCCGUAAACGAUGGAUACUAGCUGUCCGGAGCCUUGAGUUCUGGGCGGCCAAGCGAAAGUGAUAAGUAUCCCACCUGGGGAGUACGUUCGCAAGAAUGAAACUCAAAGGAAUUGACGGGGGCCCGCACAAGCGGUGGAGCAUGUGGUUUAAUUCGAUGAUACGCGAGGAACCUUACCAGGGCUUAAAUGCAUAUUGACAGGGUCAGAGAUGACUUUUCCUUCGGGCAAUUUGCAAGGUGCUGCAUGGUUGUCGUCAGCUCGUGCCGUGAGGUGUCAGGUUAAGUCCUAUAACGAGCGCAACCCCUACCGUUAGUUGCCAGCAUGUCAUGAUGGGGACUCUAACGGGACUGCCGGUGCAAACCGUGAGGAAGGUGGGGAUGACGUCAAAUCAUCACGGCCCUUACGUCCUGGGCCACACACGUGCUACAAUGGCAGGUACAGAGAGCAGCCACGUCGCAAGGCGGAGCGAAUCUAUAAAACCUGUCACAGUUCGGAUCGGGGUCUGCAACUCGACCCCGUGAAGCUGGAAUCGCUAGUAAUCGGAUAUCAGCCAUGAUCCGGUGAAUACGUUCCCGGGCCUUGUGCUCACCGCCCGUCAAGCCAUGGAAGCCGGGAGUC
rnacentral:rRNA from 1 species